ensembl:lncRNA
CUGGUGCUGAACUGAACUGAGAGCUUUGCCUAUUGAGUGCCAGAUGAUAAAAGGUUAGGUGCAACCUGCAAAUACUGUGAAGUAUCCCACUUGGCUGGCAGCAAAGCUAUAUGAGGCUGCACAUCAGAACAGAAAUGUGCUGUGAGUGGGGGCAUAGGGGAAUUGGCUUAUCAUUUCAUUGUAACACAUAUUUCUGGAAGAUGUCAGUCAAAGAAAAUACUUCAGUGUUGUUUUUCAUUAUUACUUUAAUUGGAAAAGGUUGAGAUGUAGAGCUGCUCGCUCCCACACAUGAAGAACAAAGACUCAAGAAAAAGGAGGGGGACUUAAAAAAUGGGAAAAGCAGAAGAAUGUAAAAACUGAGCUUACAUCAAUAUUUUAAAGUAUGGAAAAAGGUAGUAAAGCAAAUACUAGUUUUCUUCGUUACAUUCCUGGUGGUUUAUGACUGUUAAGUUUCAGUUAAUUAACAUACCUAAGCAACGAUGUAAUGUAAAUACAUUGUUAGUCUUUUAAGUAACAUGUUGAAAUUACAAACAAGAAAGUUGCUAAUAUUUGUGUAGCUAAGUUUAUUUUAUCCAAACCAUGUACAUAUUUAUUAUACCCUUGUACCUUGAGAGCAGUGAAUUCUCACAUAUCUACUGACUAAUUCUGAGUGGCAUGGGAGGAUUAAUUUUCUGGCAGUGGCAAUCUGGAACACCAAAUUUAUUAAGUAAUGUCAGUGCUAACAUUUCUCGUACCCUUUACCCCACAAUAAUUAAUUGCAAUGCUAACUUGACCUAAUAGCACAAUUGCAAAUGCUAGUCGGGAUAUUCCACAGAUUUUUCUUCCAGGACUCAAAUACUUGUGGUUUUCUUCAGAAUGUCCUGGAACAAACAUUUGUGGCAUGUCUAGACCAGCACUUAGUGCUGAAUUCAGUUAACUCGAGUUAAUUGGUAAUCAAUUAACUGGAGGAAAAUAGGACCAAAACCUCUACUCUUGACGUACUCAAAUCCAGCAGGCAAAAAACUAAAAAAAGCCUGCAAGCUGACUCUGCAUGAUCCUCUUAUUUUCUGUUUAAGGUAGAUUGAAAAACAUUAGCAUUUGAAAGUCAGUAGGAAAAAAACUUAUUUGUACAGAAGCCCUGCAUCUGUCUGUGAAUGCAAUGUAUGUCUGAAGAGUAGCUGUCUCUACCUACAAUGAUUUCCAGGGGUAUUAAAUCAAACCAGUAUUUACAAAGAUAAAGAGCUGUAUCCAGCAUUCAGAAGAAGCUCUGUGAGUUUGCACAUUUGAGCUAUGUGCCACAGUCAUGCCUGAGUUUGGAAGGAAUAUGACCACAUCAAGGAAAGUACUCCAAACUGGAUUUGACUAAAACUCAAAAGAUGGACUAAUCUGAAUACCACAGAACUGAACAGUGGAUAAUGUUGCGGGUACAAAUGGCAGUCUCACCACUGAGAAGAAAACAAGCUGUAUAUCAUUAGGGGUUUAUCUGUUGUAUCCCCUGCCAUGAUUUUUGUGGGGCUGGUCCUACACAGAUUUUAACUCUUGCUGUGGUUUUUGUUACAUAGUCAGUUCAUGUUAUGAUGAAGACAGAAAGAAGGGAAAGAUGCCUGUGAUAUCUCAAGGACAUUUUCAUCAAAGAUGCCCAGAGUCAGUCUAGUUCAAAGAGCUAAGAAGGACAGCCAGUGAUUCUGCUUACUGAACUGAUGAAUCCCAAUAGUUUCUUAUCAGCCAUCUGACCUGCUUUCUUCUCUGGCAACACACUAAUUCAUAUUAAAUCUGUAUAUGGUGCAAAGUGUCGUGUUUCAUUAUCUGGGUAAGUCCCGGGAUGGGCAGAGUGCAGCAGCAUACAGUGCUGGGGAGGGGGAUGUGGGGGCAGCCUUCACUGCUAAUGCAGAGCUGAGAACAAGCAGCUUUGACUUGGCUGAGUCUAUCUGCCAAACUAGUGACUUCUGCUGGGAAACAGAACUUUCCCCCUCUUUCUUUAGAUCCCAGCUGAGCUUCAAUGCUCUGUGUUUCUCUCUAACAGGAAAGCUGUCUUCUCUCCUCCUCUGCCAUCUGUGCUCCAUCCUUAUUCUCACAUGUGACUUACUGUAGCUGCAGCCUCAUUAACUUUCAAUACUUGCAGCCUAACACGACUUAACUGGGGGGCUUGAAAGGAGAGGUAGGGC